UGGUCAUUACCAAGGCUGCUAGGAUAUUACUGUUUCUGGUGAGCUGUGGACAUGACCAUAAAGUAAGGCCAUCAGACUCUUGACUUGCCACAUUGUGUGGCACUAGGUCUGCUGGGAAUAAAG
ensembl:snoRNA